rnacentral:rRNA from 2 species
CAGUCGAACGAGUCCUCCCAAUUUGAUUUUAUGCUUGCAUAAAUGAUUUUUGGAUUCGGGACGAGUGGCGAACUGGUGAGUAACACGUGGGUAACCUGCCCUAAAGCAGGGGAUAACAUUUGGAAACAGAUGCUAAUACCGUAUAAUUAGUUGGAACCACAUGGUUCCAACUUGAAAGAUGGCUCUGCUAUCACUUUAGGAUGGACCCGCGGCGUAUUAGCUAGUUGGUGAGAUAACAGCUCACCAAGGCGAUGAUACGUAGCCGACCUGAGAGGGUAAUCGGCCACAUUGGGACUGAGACACGGCCCAGACUCCUACGGGAGGCAGCAGUAGGGAAUCUUCCACAAUGGACGAAAGUCUGAUGGAGCAACGCCGCGUGAGUGAAGAAGGGUUUCGGCUCGUAAAACUCUGUUGUUAAAGAAGAACAAGUGUAAGAGUAACUGUUUACGCUUUGACGGUAUUUAACCAGAAAGCCACGGCUAACUACGUGCCAGCAGCCGCGGUAAUACGUAGGUGGCAAGCGUUGUCCGGAUUUAUUGGGCGUAAAGCGAGCGCAGGUGGUCUUUUAAGUCUGUUGUGAAAGCCCUCAGCUCAACUGAGGAAGUGCAGCGGAAACUAGGAGACUUGAGUACAGAAGAGGAUAGUGGAACUCCAUGUGUAGCGGUGAAAUGCGUAGAUAUAUGGAAGAACACCAGUGGCGAAGGCGGCUAUCUGGUCUGUUACUGACACUGAGGCUCGAAAGCAUGGGGUAGUGAACAGGAUUAGAUACCCUGGUAGUCCAUGCCGUAAACGAUGAAUACUAGGUGUUGGAGGGUUUCCGCCCUUCAGUGCCGCAGCUAACGCAUUAAGUAUUCCGCCUGGGGAGUACGACCGCAAGGUUGAAACUCAAAGGAAUUGACGGGGGCCCGCACAAGUGGUGGAGCAUGUGGUUUAAUUCGAUGCUACGCGAAGAACCUUACCAGGUCUUGACAUCUUCUGCCAACCUAAGAGAUUAGGCGUUCCCUUCGGGGACAGAAUGACAGGUGGUGCAUGGUUGUCGUCAGCUCGUGUCGUGAGAUGUUGGGUUAAGUCCCGCAACGAGCGCAACCCUUAUUAUUAGUUGCCAGCAUUAAGUUGGGCACUCUAGUGAGACUGCCGGUGAUAAACCGGAGGAAGGUGGGGAUGACGUCAAAUCAUCAUGCCCCUUAUGACCUGGGCUACACACGUGCUACAAUGGAUGGUACAACGAGUCGCGAAACCGCGAGGUCAAGCUAAUCUCUUAAAGCCAUUCUCAGUUCGGAUUGCAGGCUGCAACUCGCCUGCAUGAAGUUGGAAUCACUAGUAAUCGUGGAUCAGCAUGCCACGGUGAAUACGUUCCCGGGCCUUGUACACACCGCCCGUCACACCAUGAGAGUUUGUAACACCCAAAGACGAUGGAGUACCUUCGGGAGCUAG